AUGCCAAUGAAGAAGCUGCCGCAGCCCAAGGCGACCAUCGGCAAGCAGCAGGAUGUCUCCGACGCGAAGGCGAAGCGGCCUCCCAAGAUCUUCCGCGAGCCUUUGGCCAAGAAGACGACGGAAAUCAUCAAAAAGGCGUCCGAUCCUGCCGCCGGCUUCGUCGACGGUGACCGUGCCGGGUUCUUCUCGGAGGACAAGAUGGAAGCCGCGAAGCGCAAGCUUCGCCAAGGUUACCAAGGAGCAGAGGACGCGAAACGGCGGCGCAAGACGCAGUUGGUGCAGGCGCCCAAGAUGAUGCAGCCAAUCAGGAGGUGCAGCAGCUCCAUGGUUAAGAAAACCUUCGCGAUCAGGAGCCAGCUUCACAUGGCUUAG
rnacentral:rRNA from 1 species